GAGAGUAAUUGUUGAUAUAGGAAACUUUCGAUGGCGAAAGCAUUUACCGAUUCUGUUCUGACGCUAGGUACUAAAGCUUGGGGAGAAAGAGGAUUAGAGACCUCGUAGUCCUUGCCUUAAACAAUGAGUGUUCAACGUC
rnacentral:rRNA from 1 species